AUACAUUUUGUCUAUGUCAAAACAGUAUUUUCCUCUCACAAAUCAUGGUAUUUUUCUCCCUUAUAAAUACAGUAAAACUCCAAUAGUCUGGCACCCAAUUGUCAGGCACUCCCAAUAAUCCAGCAUCAAAAUGGCAAGUGCUCCUGACGGAACCAGGACGGAACCCAGAACCGCUCAGAACACAGUGGUCCUUCCGAAAUUAGAGACUUAGAGAGUUUAAAAUUCUCUGAAGUCAUCUUUAAAGAUUUUCCUCACGAGUUUGAAGCAAAAACUACCAACACCAGCACCACAUAUUGCAAGGACUACAGAACACAAGCUAUCUCCUAUUCUUUGUUAAUAUAAUGUCUUCUCCAUAGGCUCCGGAUCCUGAGAAGAGCCUGUUGGCAUUACUUGAACAUAAACAAAUAAGGACAGCAGAGCCUCAGGGAAUGAAACCCCCAUCUGAAGGCAUGAAAAGACUGACGAUUUUUAAAGCAUCUAAAGUGAAUUAUAUUUUAUUUUCAAUUUCCAUCAAGAUAAAUUAGCAAAAAUGCUUUUAAAAGUAUUAAGAUGUCAAGUGUAAAGUAUUUGCUUAUUCAUUAAUAUUUUAUUUGAUUUCUGUGCUAUUCUAGUCAAAUUGUCAAUCUGACAGUUUCCUACUUUACCUCAUUAUUUUAAACUAGCUGGAGUUACUCGCCGUUGCUCAGGAAACCGGAGGAACAACAUGUACAAAAACAGUAGUCCAUUAUCUUUUUUGGAAUUGUAGAAAAGUUGCACUGAUUUCUAUAGUGAUUAAAAUAUAAGUCUGUGUCAUCCCUGGAGGGGAGGGGAGUGACACCUUGGGUGGAGGGAAGUUUACACGUGGGAGGGGUGCCCAGCUCGCAUCCAGGGCUGUAGGUGCUGCGGGGGGUAGGGCGGGUGCCUGAGCCGUUGUGCACGUGGGGGUCGGGGCACUGCGUGCCAGCGCGGAGAGGGGGACGAGAGGGUUGCUUAUGUAACCUCGCGGGAGGGAGGGGGUGAGUUCCAGACGGAGCUGGGGGCCGCGGACGGUGGGCACAGGACAUAGGGUGGGAGGGGCGGCCCCUGCUGCGCAGCGCAGCAGGUUACUUUUUGAUUUCUACAGUUUGAGCUUGGGCCCGAUCAGCUCCAAAAGUACCUUAAAACCUUCUCCUGGAGGAAAGGUUAUCCCAAGCAAAGUCUGGUUAUGGUAGCUCUUAUAGUGUCCAAGUUAUUAGCGCACAAACAUACAAACAUUCGCCUUUAUAUAUUAGAUAUAUAUUUAAGAUACUUUUUAUUCUUCUGCAUAAAUAGAUACAUCAUGAAAAUAUUUCCCUUGUAUUCCUAUUCUGCCAUUGCAGUUUUUAAUUUAAGAGUUUAAAAGGUAAUUUGGGGGAGGAGGGGUCAGGAAAGAGUCUUUUCCAAAACCACACGUUAAAAUAGUUACCAAAAAUACAGUUCUAUAUGCCUUUCCCCCUCAAUUUCCACUGCAUUAGAAGUUGGUCCAACCUGCUAUUUUGCAUGCAAGCUUAAUUUUCAGAAAAUUACUUAAUCAUGAGUAUGUUUAUGAAAAGCAGUCAAAAUUGUUUGACUUGGUGUAUAUGUCUGUUCACAUUUGUUGAUUAACAAGCACUUGAUUUUUGUAUACUCAUUCCUUACUGAGUUAGUUUAAUAACCUAGCUCACUAUACUGCAUCAAUAUUUUGGCACUCUUAAAAUUUUUAAGUGAAUGUUAUGCCUAUCGUGAGUUAUUAUUGAGACAAAUUAUACAUAGUUGAUACUUUCAAAUUUUCCCGACAAAUCAUUUCAUCCAGCCUUGUAAGUGAAUUUUUUCUGAUUUCUGAAUUUCCUCUGAUUUCUUUAAAUGUUUUAGAAUUAAUUUCCCCAGGACUGUAUGCAGUAUUUGAUGUUUGAUCUUGCCUGUGAUAAACACAGAAAGGACUAUCACCAUUCUGCUCAAUCAUGCAAUACUUCAAUAAAUGUAGCCCAAAAUUAUAUUUACUUUUUUUCCCACCUGGUUUAUACCAAAAGCUUCUUUCCUUUUUCAUUAUACUUGCAGGUUUCUUCCAGCAUUACAACUUCUGCUUUUUUCCAGUUGGACUAACCUCCCUAUCUAGAAUUUAUCACUUCCACCUAUUAUCUGAAUACUUAAUCAUGUCAGAGGAUUUAACCUGCAGGCACAGUAGACUAGAUCUCCCAUUUCUUAUAUCUAAGUGUGUACAAAACAGAUAUAUACAUUACUGAG